CUUUUUAAUAGCUAGAACUGGAAAUAGUUGAGCUUCCCUUCUCCGUGCUCUUCUCUUCUCUUCUCUUCUCGUCCGCUUCGGUGUGAGAUCCACGAGCUUCCCUUCUCAGUCUCUCAGCUUCUCGUCCGCUACGGAUUCACGAGAUCCAUUGUUGAUGUUGUUGGUCAUCGAUCUCAUGGCCCUGUUCCUGAACCUGGAUCAAUCGUCGUUGUUCGGGUUACAAAAGUUAUGGCUAGAAUGGCUUCAGCUGAUAUAAUGUGUGUGGAAUCAAAGGCUGUGAAGGAAAAGUUUACUGGUAUUAUUAGUUUACUGAAAACUUAUAUGAAGUAACACAAAAGGUAAAAAGGUGAAAGGGAACAUACCUGGCUGACAUUACUAUCAAAAUGGAUGGGCCACUUUUCUGCUACAAAAUUCCUGCAGAAAAGACUUUGCAUGACGGAAAUCAUACCGGAAACUUUGCUUCGAGUUUACACUACAUUAUGGGUGAUGAAAGCUACAUAUGGAGAAGGGUUCACUGAAGACAUCUUCUAUUUUCUCAUCUAUAGGAGAAGGGUUCACUGAAGACAUCUUCUAUUUUCCAUUUGCAUAUGUUAAUUUGUAUUUUUGGUAUGAAUUGAAUGUUGGAUCAUUUGUAUGGAUUAAUUGUAUUUUCGGUAUGAUUCAAAUGAUGGAUUGUGGAUGCUUGAUGAGAUAAUUUUUUUA